CUCUCUCCCACACUGCUGCUGCCCAGCACAGGGUCAGACAAACGAAGAGAGCAUCAAAAGUUAUGAGGCAAUGGAUGUCAGGGUCAACUUUUCAUUUUGUGUCCUGGAGCAGAUCAUUUGACUGGGGAGUGUAAACUUUUGAAUCUCCACCUUCCGACUGUCUCCCACGCCGCUGCUGCCCAGCACAGGGUCCUGGGGAAUGAGGACAUCUGAAAUAUGGUUUGUGACAACAAGAAAGCAGUCUCAUCGGGACAACGGACGCCAGCUACACGUACCAACGUGACCCACGAAUGACUGCUUUGGGCAGUCAUCAAAUCCGUGGGCCUAACGCCAUCAAAACUGGUUUGAUGAAAACAAAUCAGAAAUGAAAAAAACUCACUGCAGCAAGGAAAUAAAUGCAUCAUCAAC